rnacentral:rRNA from 1 species
CACGUAGUUAGCCGGGGCUUCUUAGUCAGGUACCGUCUCUCUUCUUCCCUGCUGAUAGAGCUUUACAUACCGAAAUACUUCUUCACUCACGCGGCGUUGCUGCAUCAGGGUUUCCCCCAUUGUGCAAUAUUCCCCACUGCUGCCUCCCGUAGGAGUUUGGGCCGUGUCUCAGUCCCAAUGUGGCCGGCCACCCUCUCAGGUCGGCUACUGAUCGCUGCCUUGGUGGGCCGUUACCCCCGCAACUAGCUAAUCAGACGCGGAUCCAUCCCAUACCACCGGAGUUUUUCACACUGCGCCAUGCGGCUCCGUGCGCUUAUGCGGUAUUAGCAGUCAUUUCUAACUGUUAUCCCCCGGUAUGGGGCAGGUUAUCCACGCGUUACUCACCCGUCCGCCGCUAAAACACAAAGGCUUCCUUCCGAAAAAUUCCGCCUCUGCAUUCCCGCUCGACUUGCAUGUGUUAAGCACGCCGCCAGCGUUCAUCCUGAGCCAGGAUCAAACUCU